rnacentral:rRNA from 1 species
CCCUAGAGGAGCCUGUUCCGUAAUCGAUAAACCCCGAUCUACCCCACCCUCUCUUGCUCAGCCUAUAUACCGCCAUCUUCAGCAAACCCUAAUGAAGGCUACAAAGUGAGCGCAAACGCCACUGCCGCGAAUACGUUAGGUCAAGGUGUAGCCCAUGAGACGGUAAAAAAUGGGCUACAUUUUCUAUUUCAGAAAACCCCACGAAAACCCUUAUGAAACUUAAGGGUCCAAGGAGGAUUUAGCAGUAAAUUAAGAAUAGAGUGCUUAAUUGAACUAGGCCAUAAAGCGCGCACACACCGCCCGUCACUCCUCUCAAAUAUAUUUAAGGAAUACCCUAACUAAACGCCCUAAUAUUUAUAUAGAGAGGAUAAGUCGUAACAUGGUAAGCGUACUGGAAGGUGCGCUUGGAU